CCAGUCAGAAGGAGAGGCCUCUGCAGACACGGAGCACACGUGUGUUAUCAAGCGGGGCUGAGGAGUCUUCAGCUGAACCGUGCACCUGAAGAUGCCCAUGACUCCAUGAUCAGAUAGAAACUAUUGAGCUUGGCACCUGGGGCUCUGGAAAUCCAGACACUAAGUUGUGAUCCUGGCACCACUUCCCUGGAAACCCGUAUCUGGACAUGCCCACAUCCUUCCGGCUUUGUGCCUCUUGUCUGGAUUUCUUGGGACAGACACAGCAAAGCCUCACGUGUUCUGAGAAGUGACCUGGCCUUCCACUGACAUUCUUGGUUCAACAAAGGCAGACCCAGCAGCAUUUGCUCCUUGAUCAUCUG
rnacentral:lncRNA from 1 species